rnacentral:rRNA from 1 species
GAUGAACGCUGGCGGCGUGCCUAAUACAUGCAAGUCGAGCGAACAGACGAGGAGCUUGCUCCUCUGACGUUAGCGGCGGACGGGUGAGUAACACGUGGAUAACCUACCUAUAAGACUGGGAUAACUUCGGGAAACCGGAGCUAAUACCGGAUAAUAUAUUGAACCGCAUGGUUCAAUAGUGAAAGACGGUUUUGCUGUCACUUAUAGAUGGAUCCGCGCCGCAUUAGCUAGUCGGUAAGGUAACGGCUUACCAAGGCAACGAUGCGUAGCCGACCUGAGAGGGUGAUCGGCCACACUGGAACUGAGACACGGUCCAGACUCCUACGGGAGGCAGCAGUAGGGAAUCUUCCGCAAUGGGCGAAAGCCUGACGGAGCAACGCCGCGUGAGUGAUGAAGGUCUUCGGAUCGUAAAACUCUGUUAUUAGGGAAGAACAAAUGUGUAAGUAACUAUGCACGUCUUGACGGUACCUAAUCAGAAAGCCACGGCUAACUACGUG